AUAGUUUGUUUCUUUGUAUU
rnacentral:miRNA from 1 species